rnacentral:rRNA from 1 species
GUUGACGCAUAUUUGCAUGUGCGGUCUGCCAAGGACUUGUGGGAGGCGCUCAAAUCUAAGUUCGGGGCUGUCGAUGCAGGGAGCGAGAUGUAUAUUAUAGAGCAGUUCCAUGAUUACAAGAUGGUUGAAAACCGUCCUGUAUUGGAGCAGGCUCAUGAGAUAAUAUGCAUUGUUAAGGAGCUUGAGCUUCUUAAGUGCGAGUUACCAGGCAAGUUUGUCGCGGGCUGCAUAAUCGCUAAGCUUCCCAAUUCCUGGAGGAACUUUGCCACCACUCUGAAACAUCAGAGGCGUGAAUUCUCUGUGGAGGAUGUCAUUGGCCAUCUGAGUGUUGAGCAGAAUUCAAGGGAAAAGGACUCGCAUGGAAAAGGGGUCAAAGGAACUUUUGUGGCCAACAUGGUGCAUCAGAAGAACUCCAAUUCCCACAAGCCCAAGGGAAAUAACGGUGUCCAACAGAGUGCCGACUUUAAGAAGAAGGGUAAGAAGACCUUCAAGAAGAACAAGAAGGAUGAGGGCUGCUUUACU